rnacentral:lncRNA from 1 species
GAUCUGGAGGCCACAUUAUCGGAUCAUGGGAUCUCCACACACACAAGCAAACACCACCGAAGAUUCAGAGGUUGCAGCUCCAAAACCUUCCCGAGCGGACCAGGACCCAACGCGAGCUUCUGGAAUCUUCCUGGGCGAGCGUAUUCUUGGUGGAGUCACAAUCAACCGAUGAAACUUUCUUGGUUAAGUGGUACAAGAAGACCUCUGGAAAGAUCAUGAAAACAAAAGGUGUAAUGGUGUUCAGGCUAGACCAUAAAGGAAAUGCUAUUUACACUCAAGACAUUGGAGAUCUCUUCAUUUUCCUCUCACGAGAUGGUAUUUAUUGUAGACCUGCAGCUGAAGAACCCUCCUACAACUAUAGGCCUAACCACGUCCAUGUCGGUGAUAAAGACGGGUUCUUCACUAUCAAUCUGGCAAGUGGCGGAUUAGAAGUUCACAGAGAAUUCUAAUUGAAUAGAAUCUCUUUGACAUUGUUAUGCAUAUGAUGUGGGAUAAUCUUUGCUAUCAUCUCUCUUCCAAUUAUUUUUGUUUAAACUAUAUCCAAUAAGUUUAUGAAUCAUUGUUGUCACCAUUAAAAAGUUGUGUAGCACAGAAAAGUAGAAAACUAAACUAAGAGAGAACCCGUGUUUUCCCUCUUUUGAUUAAUGCCUCAGAUAUAUAACUUUUCUAUUUUUUUUUGUGAAUAUUAAAUCGAUCUUGGAAGGCGGUAACUAGUUGUUGUGUUUCGUAAACUAAGAUUAGAAAGUUGUGGAACUAUAAAUUAAAGUUUUUUGACAAUAAUAAUAGGCUUGCUUCGUAAACUGCAAAGUUGGAAAUUUUAGUGGUAUUUUCGUGUUAAGAGAGCACCACCAAAUGGCGGAGCCAGAAUUUUUGUUUAUAGAGGUCAUAUAUAUUAUUAUUUUUAUUUAAUUACAUAUUAAUAUUAAAUAUUAUAUUUUAUUUUGAUUUAUGAUAUUUUAUAGAAAUAUAUGUCAAAACAAUUUUGAGAAAAAGAACGAAAAAAAACAAGAUAUCCGAUGAUACAAAGAAAAAGAAUCAAUAUGUAAAAAAACUAUUAGAGAAUUGUAAUCAUUUUUUAGGAAAAAACAAAACAAACAUAGAAAGAAAAUUAAUGUUGAAUGAAAAACAUUAAUUUUUAUUACCAUUAAAACAGAGAACCCUACAUUUAAGAGGAGAAACCCCCCCCUUUGGAGAUGCUCUAAGGGGUUCUUGACAAAAUACAUCUAGAUUAACAUUCCUAAUUGUGUCUACAUGGCGUUUAUGCUUGCAUGGCAUGAUUCUAUUCAUUUACUCAAGAUAACUGAUUAAUGGAUUAUUGGAAUAUAAACAGGGCCGGCUCAAUUAAUUUUGAGUCCCGGUACAAAUCUUAAAAAUUGGCCCUUUUUCAUACAAAAAAAAAAAAAUUGGGUCUUUUUCAUGUUAAAAAAACUUAAAAAUUAACCACUUUCAUACUAAAUAAAAUAUUUAGGCUUUUUUUAUAAUAAAGAUAUCUUAAAGUUUUAAAAAUUACAUUUUUUUCUAUACGGAAAAAAAAAUUUAGACCCUUAAAUUUACCCAAAAAAAUUGGACCCGGAACAAUUGCUCCACUUGAACACCCCAAACGCCGGCACUGAAUAUAAAAUAAAGCCAUCAUAUAAAAACAAAGGAAAUUGAAACGGGAACGUAGUUCUAGUAAACGAAACCUAAACCAUCUCUAACAUGCUUACCAAUUACCAUGAACCCGGUCCAGCUUCUUCUUUUGUCUCUCCAUUCCUCUCACUCUCAGUAUUUCUGGCCCUCCAUAUAGCCAACAGCCUCUUCUCCUGUCUCUCGAUCUGACUCAUGAUUCCUGGCGGUCUCUGGUACACAAAAGGUUUUAGUGGUGGGCCUGGUGGCAUAAGCUCAGGCUUAAUUACCUCGUAACAAAAUAAUCAUCCGCGUAUUCGCAUUGAUCAGCCUCAGAUUGAACUGGUACUUAAACUUUCAGCAGCCCAAAAAACUGGUCGAGAGAGUACGAUACAUCGGUGUAAAAGGUUGAGUGGGGGUUAUCUUAAAGCCCAUACUUAAGAAAUAUCUGAUUGGUUAUUGAGAAUCUUCACGUACUUGAAGAAACUUCUUGAUUGUGAUUAUCUUCACGUACGAUCCAUUACUAAACACACCCUAAAUUAGUUAUGGUGUCGUGCCUUUGAAACCAAAAAAACUCUAGAUGUACCCACCCGGCCACCCCUAGUUUCUGCUGUCAUUUACACGUACAUUUAGGAUUUAGAAGAGUUUAAAUUUCCUAAAACAGAAGCUAAGAAUCUGCAGAAUUUAAUAACAUAUAUACGAUUGAUUUAUUUGGUAAACUGAUCAAUAUUGGUUUAGAAAUUUAUCGGUUAACCCAUGGGAAGCUUACGUUAAAGAUUCCUUUGAUUUUUACAUCAAAUAAAUCGGUAUAGUUCUGAUGUUACAAAAAAAAAAUCGGUUUGGGGACGAUACGUCUCCGAGAGAGAGAAUAAUAUGUCUGACCUUACCUAAUGUGGAGACGGGAAACUUGGUGAGCAAGUCCAUUUGCUCUGUAUUAAUAAUGAAGCGUCUAAAAGGUGAUCAUCACAACGGUUCUUCAAUUAGGGUUUUUUUUUUUUUUAAACCCAAAAUCUCUUGCUUUUCGAUAAGAUCGAUCAUUAUUAAUCAUUAUGUCUCUGCUCCUCAACAAGCCUUCGAUGUUGUGCCUAGGCAAACCUACGUCGAUGAGGUCAUCUCUUUUUCUCUCUAGUGGCUUCCCAUCUUCCUCACUGCGAACCCUUCCAUGUUCCAUCCACGGUUGUGGACUGAAGGUUAGUAAUGUUCCUAAAUCUCGCCACACUUCUUUGGAAAAGAAGGUGCCUGUGGGUAGACAUAAAAUAGAUUGGCUAGCAUACCUUGGCUGGUUAGCUACUUACAGUGACGACGGAAUUUUGCGUUUCAUUGAUUCUAUGUGGGAUUCAGGAGAACCGAAACACUUUUCGUCGCCUCCUUUUGUAACUUUACCUCGUUGCCAAACUCAAAUUGUCACCAACGUGGUAGCAUCUUCUCCUCUUGACGACGAGGACUGUGUUGUGGCUGUCAAGUUUUUGGGACCUCAACUCAGCUUUUUCAGACCUGCUCAAAGUAAAUUUGGGUGGACCAACGUUAGAAUCGAAAACCCUUGCUUCUACUCCUCCAAAGUCAUGUUUUCCAAGAAAGAUGGCAUGUUUCGUAUUCCUGGAUCUGGAGGCCACAUUAUCGGAUCAUGGGAUCUCCACACACACAAGCAAACACCACCGAAGAUUCAGAGGUUGCAGCUCCAAAACCUUCCCGAGCGGACCAGGACCCAACGCGAGCUUCUGGAAUCUUCCUGGGCGAGCGUAUUCUUGGUGGAGUCACAAUCAACCGAUGAAACUUUCUUGGUUAAGUGGUACAAGAAGACCUCUGGAAAGAUCAUGAAAACAAAAGGUGUAAUGGUGUUCAGGCUAGACCAUAAAGGAAACGCUAUUUACACUCAAGACAUUCGAGAUCUCUUCAUUUUCCUCUCACGAGAUGGUAUUUCUUGUGAACCUGCAGCUGAAGAACCCUCCGACAACUAUAGGCCUAACCACGUCCAUGUCGGUGAUAAAGACGGGUUCUUCACUAUCAAUCUGGCAAGUGGCGGAUUAGAAGUUCACAGAGAAUUCUAAUUGAAUAGAAUCUCUUUGACAUUGUUAUGCAUAUGAUGUGGGAUAAUCUUUGCUAUCAUCUCUCUUCCAAUUAUUUUUGUUUAAACUAUAUCCAAUAAGUUUAUGAAUC